GCCGGAGUGGCGGAACUGGUAGACGCAGCAGACUCAAAAUCUGCCGAGGCUUACGCUUCGUGCCGGUUCGAUUCCGGCUUCCGGCA
rnacentral:tRNA from 1 species